AUUGAACGCUGGCGGCAUGCUUUACACAUGCAAGUCGAACGGCAGCACGGGGGCAACCCUGGUGGCGAGUGGCGAACGGGUGAGUAAUAUAUCGGAACGUACCCGGAAAUGGGGGAUAACGUAGCGAAAGUUACGCUAAUACCGCAUAUGCCCUAAGGGGGAAAGCGGGGGAUUCGCAAGAACCUCGCGUUUUCGGAGCGGCCGAUAUCGGAUUAGCUAGUAGGUGAGGUAAAGGCUCACCUAGGCGACGAUCCGUAGCUGGUCUGAGAGGACGACCAGCCACACUGGAACUGAGACACGGUCCAGACUCCUACGGGAGGCAGCAGUGGGGAAUUCUGGACAAUGGGCGAAAGCCUGAUCCAGCCAUGCCGCGUGUCUGAAGAAGGCCUCGGGUUGUAAGGACUUUGUCUAGGGAGGCAAAACUUACUGGUUAAUACCCGGUGAGGCUGAGAGUACCUGAAGAAUAAGCACCGGCUAACUACGUAGCCAGCAGCCGCGGUAAU
rnacentral:rRNA from 1 species